rnacentral:misc_RNA from 1 species
GAUGAAGAACGCAGCGAAAUGCGAUAAGUAAUGUGAAUUGCAGAAUUCAGUGAAUCAUCGAAUCUUUGAACGCACAUUGCGCCCCCUGGUAUUCCGGGGGGCAUGCCUGUCCGAGCGUCAUUACAACCCUCAAGCUCAGCUUGGUAUUGGGCCCCGCCGACCCGGCGGGCCCUAAAGUCAGUGGCGGUGCCGUCCGGCUCCGAGCGUAGUAAUUCUUCUCGCUCUGGAGGUCCGGUCGUGUGCUCGCCAGCAACCCCCAAUUUUUUUCAGGUUGACCUCGGAUCAGGUAGGGAUACCCGCUGAACCUAAGCAUAUCAAUAAGCGGAGGA